rnacentral:lncRNA from 1 species
UGGAAGAGUCUCUCUGUUUAUCAAUAACGUGACUGUUGCUGACGAAAGGGCUAAUGGAGAAUUUAUGUGUGACAUAAUUGAUUUCAAUGUUGACAUUUGGAGGCGAACAAUUCGAGUUGAAGUCAUAGUCCCAGCAAAGGUAACUAACAUUACUGGC